rnacentral:lncRNA from 1 species
AUGAGCUAGCUAUAUUAAGGUCCUUAAUCUGAGGUCCACAGAUGGAGUGUUUGCCAUGUCCAAUACUACAUGCAAAAAUACACGCGUCUAUUUGAGGAUGUUUUUCUGGAUGGAAAGCUCCGUCCGGACACCAUCCAACGGUACGAUUCAACAAACCGUAGCUUCAUCUUGAUCACCUGGAAAUGCUCUUGGCCUUUGCAAAAUGGACGAAGAGGCUAACAAUGAAAAUACUGGAGGAAAUUUGCUCUAAGUUAGUCCCCAGAGAAACCAUUAGGUCGGGGAUUUCAUAAACCGUGCUGUAAUUUGCUACAAUCCAUGGAGACCUGCAGGUAAAAUGAUGGCUUAGCUGAAGAACUCAAGAGACCUUGUGGGAAAGCUACCACCAACGUCAUCGUCAUGGAUUGAUCCAGCAUGACACCUGACUGUCAAACUAUGGAGACAUCAAUAAUCCCCGUGCAUGCCAACAACCAGAAGAUAGAACAGGGCGGGCCAGAGAGAGAGCUCAACACAGAAAGGCCUCUGCCUCCAGGCCUAAUGAUCUAAGCUCUACUCACACUUGAGUUGGUUCCCAGGGCCUAGAUGGUGGAAGGAGACACACACACACACACACACACACACACACACACACACACACACACAGAGUGAGAUGUUCACAAAGACAGCAAGACAAACAGCAGUCCUCUUUAAAAAGUUUCAAGAGAAUAGAAAGUAGUGUCGUGGCUUUGUUUUAAAAGACUCGGCAUUUUAAGACAAUGAUUCUUCUAAAGUUAACUUUAAAAUAUUUUACCAAAAAAAAUUUUUUUACAUAUUUUGCACCACCACCACCACCAAAAGUUCUAAUAGGAUUUCUUUCAGCUUGGACAGACUCCUAUGUAAGACCAUAGUAAAUGGACAGUAAGAGCCAGGCUGAAAGAUGUCAAAGGUAAUGUAAGCUGCAUAAGGAAGGGCUGGGGAUGUGGACUGAAACUUUAAGAGGAGAAGAAAGAGGGCCAAGAAUGAAUGGCAUCUAACCCACACAGCUCUGAAGGGACUGGCUGCUUGACUCUAGGAAAUGAAACUAGACGCCUUUUCUGUUAUUCUAGAGCGCUACAGAGAUGGCUCGGCAGUUAGGAGCACUUGCUGCUCUUGCGGAAGACCUAGGUCCGGUUCCCAGCAUAGCUCACAACCACCUGAACUCCAGUUAUAGGGAUGAGACACCCUCUUCUGGCCCUAAAGGCAUGUGCUACACAUCCACACUAUUAUACACAUAUAAUAAUCUUCUUUUUUUAAAAAUGAUAAGUGAUUUUAAUGUGUAGAUGCUAGAUGAAAUUUGCAAUGUUUUUCUGUUCUGGAAACCUAACACAAAUGUUGUGUUUCAAUAUCUGGGAUCCAUUUGUAGGUGUUGGGCUGAUUAUCCUAACCUGGAAUUAGUUAUCUCUGCCACAGAAAAUAGUGCUAUAUUUGGAAAGCUUCAUACUAGAAAUAUGGGUUAAUUAUGACUUUCAAAAGCACUUAACAUGGGCAUGAAGAUAUGGCUCAGUGGAUAAAGCUCCUGACACAAUGGGUCUCAGAACUCAGGCUGAAACAGGGAAGGUGUAGCAGCUACUGUAAGUCCAGCACUCGGGAGGUAGAGGCAGAGAUCCCUGAGAAGGCUGGCCAGGUAGAUCGGCCACGUUCAACAAGAACUUGCCUCAAUACAUAGAGAGUGAUUAAGGAAGACACCAACUCCAGCUUUGGUCCACCACACAUAUAAGUACAUGUGCACACAGGCACACAAACAUGCAUAGACAAACAAAAAUGGUUCAAAUUAAGUCCUGACAUUUGGCAUAACCUUUUUUUGUUUUGUUUUGUUUUAAUGGAGUUCGGGGAAGAAGGAGCUAGAAUUCGUGUAACUAAGCCCUAGCAAAUAUUAAAAUACAAGUACACUAGUAUCUUUCCCUUCCUCUGCCCCCUAUCGUUUCAAUAAAAUAGGAACUAUAUAGUGUAGUGCAAUGCCUGUAUAUAAAGUGUAAUGUAAUGCCUGCCAUACAGAGGCGUAUAUACUGAACAAAUGAUAACUAAUAGAGAUACUUGAUGUGUUAU